UAUGGAUAUCCCUUGGGAUCAAUCUUGAAAAGAUCUUCUCAUACUAGAUCCAUCUUCUCUAACCAGAAUUUCAGCCCUUUAGAACCUUGAUCAACUCUUUAAUCUAGACUGUAGAAUCAACUCUUUGAUUUGUAGCUUUUUUUCUUCGUUUCUUGUUGUAGAUGAACAACUCAUCAACUCUUGACAUGUAGAAAGGUGGGAUGCCCAACC
rnacentral:lncRNA from 1 species